rnacentral:rRNA from 1 species
GAGAAUGCCGGUGUGAGUAGCGAAAGACGGGUGAGAAUCCCGUCCACCGAUUGACUAAGGUUUCCAGAGGAAGGCUCGUCCGCUCUGGGUUAGUCGGGUCCUAAGCUGAGGCCGACAGGCGUAGGCGAUGGAUAACAGGUUGAUAUUCCUGUACCACCUAUAAUCGUUUUAAUCGAUGGGGGGACGCAGUAGGAUAGGCGAAGCGUGCGAUUGGAUUGCACGUCUAAGCAGUAAGGCUGAGUAUUAGGCAAAUCCGGUACUCGUUAAGGCUGAGCUGUGAUGGGGAGAAGACAUUGUGUCUUCGAGUCGUUGAUUUCACACUGCCGAGAAAAGCCUCUAGAUAGAAAAUAGGUGCCCGUACCGCAAACCGACACAGGUAGUCAAGAUGAGAAUUCUAAGGUGAGCGAGCGAACUCUCGUUAAGGAACUCGGCAAAAUGACCCCGUAACUUCGGGAGAAGGGGUGCUCUUUAGGGUUAACGCCCAGAAGAGCCGCAGUGAAUAGGCCCAAGCGACUGUUUAUCAAAAACACAGGUCUCUGCUAAACCGUAAGGUGAUGUAUAGGGGCUGACGCCUGCCCGGUGCUGGAAGGUUAAGAGGAGUGGUUAGCUUCUGCGAAGCUACGAAUCGAAGCCCCAGUAAACGGCGGCCGUAACUAUAACGGUCCUAAGGUAGCGAAAUUCCUUGUCGGGUAAGUUCCGACCCGCACGAAAGGCGUAACGAUUUGGGCACUGUCUCAACGAGAGACUCGGUGAAAUCAUAGUACCUGUGAAGAUGCAGGUUACCCGCGACAGGACGGAAAGACCCCGUGGAGCUUUACUGUAGCCUGAUAUUGAAAUUCGGCACAGCUUGUACAGGAUAGGUAGGAGCCUUUGAAACGUGAGCGCUAGCUUACGUGGAGGCGCUGGUGGGAUACUACCCUAGCUGUG